ACGGGAGGCAGCAGUGAGGAAUAUUGGUCAAUGGGCGAGGGCCUGAACCAGCCAAGUAGCGUGAGGGAAGACUGCCCUAUGGGUUGUAAACCUCUUUUGUAUGGGAAUAAAGGGAGCCACGUGUGGCUCGUUGCAUGUACCUUACGAAUAAGCAUCGGCUAAUUCCGUGCCAGCAGCCGCGGUAAUACGGAAGAUGCGAGCGUUAUCCGGAUUUAUUGGGUUUAAAGGGAGCGUAGGCGGCCUUUUAAGUCAGCGGUUAAAUGUCAGCGCCCAACGUUGGCAUGCCGUUGAAACUGGAGGGCUUGAAUACACACAAGGUAAGUGGAAUUCGUCGUGUAGCGGUGAAAUGCUUAGAUAUGACGAAGAACUCCGAUUGCGAAGGCAGCUUACUGGGGUGCGAUUGACGCUGAGGCUCGAAGGUGCGGGUAUCAAACAGGAUUAGAUACCCUGGUA
rnacentral:rRNA from 1 species